rnacentral:rRNA from 1 species
UACGGAGGGUGCAAGCGUUAUCCGGAUUCACUGGGCGUAAAGGGUGCGUAGGUGGUGGGGUAAGUUUGAUGUGAAAUCUCCGAGCUCAACUCGGAAAUGGCAUUGAAUACUACUUCGCUAGAGGGUCGGAGGGGAGACUGGAAUUUUCGGUGUAGCAGUGAAAUGCGUGGAUAUCGAAAGGAACACCAGUGGCGAAAGCGAGUCUCUGGACGACUCCUGACACUGAGGCACGAAAGCUAGGGGAGCAAACAGG